rnacentral:lncRNA from 1 species
GUGUUUAGGCCUUUUUAGCCUGAUCAACUAGAAAUCCUGGAUGAUUACAAAAAAUAGCAUGAGCACCUUUUCAAAGCAAGCAAUCUAAAUAUUGAUGAGGAUGUGAUGGUUGGUCAGACACAUGAAUGAAAAGUGGAUCAAGCGAGAUGUUGGAAGUAUAAGGCAGAUAAUAGUCUCAAUUCAAUGUGUUGGGUGUAAAACCUCCCCUAGCCGAAGUUUGUGUUCGGAGUGACCCCUCGGGGAUACUGUACGGACUCCUACGGGAGCCGGACUCCGUCUCCAACUUUGGUUGCAGGCAAACUUCGUCCCCAACCUCGACUGCGGGAAGGCUUCGCCCGGACUCCUACGGGAGCCGGGCUCCGCCCACGACUUCGCUUACAGGUAAACUUCGUCUGGACUCCUAAGGGAGCCGAACUUCGUCCCUGAUUUUAAUUGCAGGUAGACUUCGACCAGACUCCUACGGGAGCCGGAUCUCGUCUCCGACUCCAACUACAGGCGGACUUCGUCCGGACUCCUACGGGAGCUGGACUUCGUCCCCAACC